rnacentral:rRNA from 1 species
UACGGGGGGAGCAAGCGUUGUUCGGAUUUACUGGGCGUAAAGGGCGCGUAGGCGACCAGCACAAGUCAGUUGUGAAAUCUCCGAGCUUAACUCGGAAAGGUCAACUGAUACUGUGCGGCUAGAGUGCAGAAGGGGCAACUGGAAUUCUUGGUGUAGCGGUGAAAUGCGUAGAUAUCUGGAGGAACACCAGUGGCGAAAAGCGGCCACCUGGACUGGCACCUGACGCUGACACGCGAAAAGCUAGGGGGAGCGAACGGGG